UACAGAGACUGCAAGCGUUAUUCGGAUUCACUGGGCGUAAAGGGUGCGCAGGCGGUCGGGUGUGUCAGAUGUGAAAAUCCCCGAGGCUCAACCUCGGAACUGCGUCUGAAAACUACUCGACUAGAGUACUGGAGAGGGUAACGGAAUUCACGGUGUAGCAGUGAAAUGCGUAGAUAUCGUGAGGAACACCAGAGGCGAAGGCGGUUACCUGGACAGUUACUGACGCUCAGCACGAAAGCAUGGGGAGCAAAAGGG
rnacentral:rRNA from 1 species